rnacentral:ncRNA from 2 species
GGACGGAUCUCUGGAGAGACCAACGUUGGCGCCGAAGGGGCAGUACGGAUAAUUCCGUCAAUCUCUCAGGCAAAAGGACAGAGUAUGCAUC